AGUGAACGCUGGCGGUAGGCCUAACACAUGCAAGUCGAACGGCAGCACAGUAAGAGCUUGCUCUUACGGGUGGCGAGUGGCGGACGGGUGAGGAAUACAUCGGAAUCUACUUUUUCGUGGGGGAUAACGUAGGGAAACUUACGCUAAUACCGCAUACGACCUACGGGUGAAAGCAGGGGAUCUUCGGACCUUGCGCGAUUGAAUGAGCCGAUGUCGGAUUAGCUAGUUGGCGGGGUAAAGGCCCACCAAGGCGACGAUCCGUAGCUGGUCUGAGAGGAUGAUCAGCCACACUGGAACUGAGACACGGUCCAGACUCCUACGGGAGGCAGCAGUGGGGAAUAUUGGACAAUGGGCGCAAGCCUGAUCCAGCCAUACCGCGUGGGUGAAGAAGGCCUUCGGGCUGUAAAGCCCUUUUGUUGGGAAAGAAAAGCAGCAGGUUAAUACCCCGCUGUUCUGACGGUACCCAUAGAAUAAGCACCGGCUAACUUCGUG
rnacentral:rRNA from 1 species